rnacentral:rRNA from 1 species
ACAGCCGUUGCACACGAGUCAGUCGAUCCUAAGCCCUAGGAGAAAUCCUAUGCAGAUGGUUCGGUGUUAACUAAAGCUUGAGAUACUUACCGACCGUCGGGCGAAAGGGAAUCCGGUU